GGAGAGGGUCAGCACCUCCCUGCGCCCUGUCAGGGGGCCCGCAUCGUCCCGGUGCCCGUCCCGGGGGUGAGGGGUGCCCGCGCAGGCCUAUGGGCCAUGUUUUCCCCUCACCCCCGCUGCCCGGGGCCUGGUCUCUUCCCCUUUGCCCACAGGACCCCCUGGCAAAACGCACUUGUGUCUCUGUGCCAGGCACACGACGGACAGGAGCCAUGGGACACCCGCAAACCACCCAGCCACAGAACAGCCGGCAGCACCCUAUAAACAACUUGUGUGCGGAAGCCACAGCAACUGCAGCGUGUCACGGAGGAGCAGCGGGAGAGAGCAAAAGCCUUGCCAGCGGCCUGGGCUUGGGAAGCAAGAGAUAGAGCAGAGGAACGGAAGGUUGUAACUGGCCUCAGCAUUAUGGCUGGUCACAAACCGGAUCUUCGAGAAAAUCAAAAGAAGCUGAAAACUCCAGUUCCCCGAGCAGUUCUUCUGAGGGAGGAGAAGAAUGAAGCAGAACGGAUACAGGCUCCCGAAAGAUUUAUUACUACGCAACCACUCCAUCAGCUGAUCAUUUCAUCACACCGACAGAACUGACACUGUGGCCAUCUUCAGAUCUUGAACCCUCCAUCAAAAGAAAGCCCCAAAACCCAUAGGACCACCAGCUGAAGAGAGCUGAAGAGAACUGAAGAGAACUGAAGGAAAACUAUCCACGUUUUGUUUCCCCUUAUCACACUAAAUUAAUUUGCAAGACCAGUUAGCUUACCUUCAUCUCAAGGAAGUUACAGUAAGGUAUUGCAGCUACAUCUAAGCUCUUUAUACAUGUUUUCUAGUGUAGACACCACAGUGCUGGAGUCAGAUUAAAAAAUACAGUAGCUAAUUUUCAAACAGAUAGUUUUUAAAAAUGCUUCUAGUGAAAAAUAUAACGUAUGUUAUUUUGAAAAAGUUGCAUGUGCUGUGAACAUCCUUCCUAUCCACCUUAAAAGAAAGCUGUUGAUGUAAAGUUUAAUUCACAAUAUCAUUACUUGGGAGUUUUACUAAAUACAGUAAUGUUUCUUGUAUGUUUCAGUGUAGCUCAGAACUUCAUUUCCUGGGUCACCUUAAAGAUUAAAUCCAAGCUGGUACCUUUUCCAGCAGUAUUUGUGUCAUAACGAUGCCUUUCUGCACACCCAUUUUGCUCUGAAGGUACAUUUCCAUCUUAGAGAAGAGUAGCAUGUUUUAUUCCAGAGCACAUCUGUUCCCUACUCUUAAAGUACACACUUCAUCUGCACUGAAAGUGUUAUCAACUAAAUUUAUGAAACACUUAGGCACACUAAGUAUCUAUGUAAAUCUCUACUCAGCCCUUUAACAGAAAAGGGUAGGGAAAGAAUACAUCGAGAAAAAGAGCGAAGGAUCUGAGUGGCAGAGUAACUGCAGUAAUCUCAAAUGUCACAGUCUUACGUAAAAUAAGAACUGACACUUUCCCAUUUGUAACUGGUAUUAAGAGGAGGCAAGAUGAAUUUUAAGAAAGUUUUAUUAUACAAAAGAUGAUCCAAACCCCAAAGAGCUCUUCUACAGCUCUAAGAGUUUUGUUCUUUGACCUGUACUUCCGUAUGCUUUUCCAAAAAGCCAAGAUAAAAAGGUUCAUUAGUCCCAUUUUCUUCUUACCGAGAGAGUUGGAAAAAAAAAAUCGUAGCUACAUCAAAAUCUGUUAUUUAUUCUUUGUAUUCCAAGAACUGCUGAAGUCUUUUCUUAUGUUCUGCAGACACUUGCACUGCACUGAAAACAACAAAUGUAGAACGUAAGAUUUUACAGUAAAUGUAAUAC